rnacentral:rRNA from 1 species
AUUGUGCCAGCCGCCGCGCGGUCCUACUCCGCGGUCCAAGUCGCAGCCAUCUUUAUUGGGUCUAAAACAUCCGUAGCUUGCUUAAUAAGUUCCCUGUGAAAUCUUGUGUCUCAAGCACAAGGCGUGCAGGGAGUACUGCUAAGCUAGAGACUGGAAGACGUGAGAAGUACGUUCGAAGUAGCGGUAAAAUGUGUUAAUCUCGGGCGGACUCACAACAGCGAAGGCAUCUCACGAGGACAGUUCUGACAGUGAGGGAUGAAGGCUAGGGGCGCAAAUUGGAUUAGAUACCCAAGUAGUCCUAGCAGUAAACACUGCGCACUAAACAUUAGUACCUCCUCGAGAGGUAUUGGUGCUGAAGCGAAGGCGAAGAGUGCGCUACCUGGGAAGUAUAGUCGCAAGGCCGAAACUUAAAGGAAUUGGCGGGGAGACACUACAACGGGUGACGCGUGCGGUUCAAUUAGAUUCUACACCGUGAACCUCACCAGGACCGACAGCAGAAUGAAGGUCAGUCUGAAGGGCUUACCUGACACGCUGAGAGGAGUUGCAUGGCCGACGUCAGCCUGUGUCGUGAGAUGACCUGUUAAAUCAGGUAACAGGCGAGACCCACAUGUAUAUUUACUAUGCGUACAAUAUGCAGAUUGCCUUGGUAACAAGGAUGAAAGUGUGGGCAACGUUAGGUGAGUACAGCCCGAACGUCCUGGGCAACACGCGCGCGUCAAUGGUGAAUACAACGAGAUGCAACACCGAAAGGUGAAAGCCAAUCUCUUAAAGCUCAUCUCAGUCCAGAUUGAGGUUUGAAACUCAGCCU